CAGCGCAGCCCCAGCAGUGCCCGUUUUGGGGUGCCCCCCCCGGGUGUCCCCAGCUCCUGCCUGCACCUCCAGUCUCUGCUUCGGUAGGUCCAUUUUCCUUUGCUUUUUUUUUUUUCUGUUUUAUUUUCAUUUUCUUUUAAGUUUUAUUUUACUGUUUGGUUUACCCCCUCCCCGUCUCGCCGUGUAGCGUAGCCACCAGCCCAUCUCAGCAUAGCCGUAGACGAUAACAGCCAUUUUUGUACCUUCAUCCUGUUUAGCUGAGUACAUUGCACUGUAAAUUCCUGUUAAGUGGAUUCAUUUUGCCGUGGUCGCUGGGCGCAAAGUUCCUUUAGAGGGGGGAUGAACCAAACACUCCCAAAUUACGGCUAAACCCCCCCCAAAAAACGUAAAUUGAGGGGGGGGAAAUCAUAGAAUCGUAAAGAUUUGAGUGGGAAAGGACCUUAAGAUCAUCCAGUUCCAACCCCCUGCCGUGGGAAAUCGGUCAAGGAAAUGCAAAAUUGGGUUGAAUUCCGAAAAUAAAAUUGGGAAGGAGUAUGAGAGAAAUAUCCGGGAUGAAACAGGGGGUAAAAUGCUCCCCAGAGCCGCUGAGGGGUCACCCCAAAAGGGGUGCAGCAUCCCUGUCCCCAUCGGGGGUGAUGCCCGGUCACCCCGUCUCCAUCCCACCGGCCACAAGUGUCCCGUCUCUUCUGUGCACACACCCCCCUCGCCCAUAAAAUCUCAUAAAGAGACGCCUGGCAAAAUGGGCUUCCAUUAAACAGGGAUAACAUUUUUUUCUGCUGUGCUAAAUUACUUCCUGUUCUUAUUUUGUGGGUAAUUUUCUGUAUCGAAUAUCCUUUGGUUGUGUAUUCUCCACCUUUUUUCUUGUACUAAAACUUAAAGCAUGGUCUGUAUUUUUUUACAUUAUCUAGUUUUCUGAUGUAAAUCUCUCUGUAGAGACAUACCCUGCUGAAAUGUAAUGUGCUGUAGCCUAUACAUCUGCUCAGUGUACGCUGCUUUUGUUCUGUUGCCCUUCCAUAGCAUGGUGGGCCUUGCCUUUUUUGUAUUGUGUGCAUGAUGACAUUGUUACACACGAUUCCACUAAUACUAAUAUACGAUCUCUCAAUAAAGAAACUAGUUUUCCUAUAUUAA
rnacentral:lncRNA from 1 species